UACGUAGGGUGCGAGCGUUGUCCGGAAUUAUUGGGCGUAAAGAGCUCGUAGGCGGUUUGUCGCGUCGGCCGUGAAAACUUGGGGCUUAACUCCAAGCUUGCGGUCGAUACGGGCAGACUUGAGUUCGGCAGGGGAGACUGGAAUUCCUGGUGUAGCGGUGAAAUGCGCAGAUAUCAGGAGGAACACCGGUGGCGAAGGCGGUUCUCUGGGACGGUACUGGACGCUGAGACGCGAAAGCGUGGGGAGCGAACAGG
rnacentral:rRNA from 1 species